rnacentral:rRNA from 1 species
UACGGAGGGUGCGAGCGUUGUCCGGAAUCAUUGGGCGUAAAGGGCGCGUAGGUGGCCUGCUAAGCGUGCGGUGAAAGUCGGGGGCUCAACCCCCGAUCGGCCGUGCGAACUGGGAGGCUUGAGCACUGUAGAGGCAGGCGGAAUUCCGGGUGUAGCGGUGGAAUGCGUAGAGAUCCGGAAGAACACCGGUGGCGAAAGCGGCUACACUGGACCACAACUGACGCUGA